CUAGUUGGUGAGGUAACUGCUCACCAAGGCUGUGAUGGAUAGCCGGCCUGAGAGGGCGAUCGGCCACAUUGGGACUGAGACACGGCCCAGACUCCUACGGGAGGCAGCAGUUAAGAAUCUUCCGCAAUGGACGAAAGUCUGACGGAGCGACGCCGCGUGAACGAUGAAGGCCGUGAGGUUGUAAAGUUCUUUUCCGAGGGAGGAAUAAAGAUGGUAGGGAAUGACCGUCUGAUGACGUUAACUCGGGAAUAAGCCCCGGCUAACUACGUGCCAGCAGCCGCGGUAACACGUAGGGGGCAAGCGUUGUUCGGAAUCAUUGGGCGUAAAGGGUGCGCAGGCGGCGUAGCAAGUCUGGUGUGAAAUACCUCGGCUCAACCGAGGGAACGCACUGGAAACUGUUAUGCUAGAGUACAGGAAGGGGAGUUGGAAUUCCAGGUGUAGGGGUGAAAUCUGUAGAUAUCUGGAAGAACACCGGUGGCGAAGGCGAACUCCUGGCCAUGUACUGACGCUGAGGCACGAAGGCGUGGGGAGCAAACAGGUUUAGAUACCCUGGUAGUCCACGCAGUAAACGAUGUACACUAGGUGGUGGGGUGGUAGCACUCAGUACCCGAAGCUAACGCAUUAAUUGUACCGCCUUGGGGAGUAUGCUCCGCAAGGGUGAAACUCAAAGGAAUUGACGGGGGCCCCGCACAAGCGGUUGGAGCAUGUGUUUCAUUUCGAUGGAUACGCGAGGACCCUUACCAGGGGCUGACACUAACACUGGAAUGGACGUGAAAGCGUUUCAGCCCUCCGGGGCCGGUGUAACA
rnacentral:rRNA from 1 species